rnacentral:lncRNA from 1 species
GCCCCCUCCCUCAGUAGGGAAGGUUUGGGGGCGUUCGGAGGGCUCCGUGCUGAUGACUCAGAGCCUGGAGGCUGCUUUGGAUUCUGUGUCUCCCUCUUUCUCUGACACUCCCAUGCUCACGCUCUCUCUCUCUCUUUCUUUCAAAAAUAACCAUUAAAAAAAUGACUAUACAAUGAAAUAAUACAUGGCCAUUGAAAAGAGCGAGGUAAACCAAUCCAGUUAAUGUUAGAAACUUCUAAAACAUACUGUUAAGAAAAGGAAGAUGCAGAUCAGUUUAUGUAAUAUCUUAUUUUGUAAAAAAAAAAAAAAAACAAAAAACCCUCAAAAAUUUCUAUAUCUGUAUGUAAAUAUACUUAUUUAUAAAUGUAUAAAAAUGUAAACAUUUAUUUUUAUUGUAUUAUAUUAAUAUAUUAUGAAUAUAUAUAUAAACUUUUAAAAGGAUAUGUGCUAGUUUGUCAAAUGUGUUUGGGGGUGGGGAGUAGAGGAGAGGAGGCUAGUUAAACAAAAAGAGGUCUUUAUUUAAAAACCGUAUAUGUGACUUAUUAUUCCAUUCAGGUAAAAUCAUACAAAUACGAGUAUGUGCUUAUGACAGAUGAAAGAGGGACAGUCACCAGUAUGCUAAUGAUCAUCAUCUCUGGAAUGUGGGAUUUCAGGUCAGCAGCUUCUGCUUCCAGAAAGAAGGGAAAACAAAAGGGAGAGGAAGAAAGAAAGGAGAGAGAGACGGAAAGGGAGGAGAGAAAAGAAGGAGAAAGAAAAAGAAGGAGGAGCACAGGGACAAGGAACGGAAGAAAAGGAAAGAAACAGAAUAGUUCCAAAUGUUCCACUUGGAUGCUGGUGGGACAAGGCAAACGUCCCCCUCCCCCCAGGUUUCUGGACUGGCUCUGAAGGAUUCUCUUCCCAGGUUCCUGGUAAUCCCAGUUCUUCAAGAAGUGUGCAAAUUCAUGUUGGUGGCCUAUUUUCUUACUGGAGAUGUAACUGUUAGUAUUGUCCAUAUUGCUGACAUUCUUGUCAUAUUCCUAGAUAUUAGAUAAAAAAAAGUUUUAAUCAGUUAUAAAUGAGAAUGUACAUACAAUAAUUCUAAAACUGUGUCUUCAUCAAAGUUUGCUUGCAACUAUGAUACAUGUGGCUUUAGUGCCAAUUCUUAUUAAGUGUGCAGUGCAAUGUGCUGACACCCAUGACACAUUUCCCCUUAUUCAGUCACAAAAAUACUUCUAAUUAGCCAUAAAUGAGAAUGUACACACAACAUUUCCAAUAGCUACUCUGCUCCUAUCAAAGUUCACAUCAGAGAAAAUUUAAACUGUUGCCACUGAGCUGCCUUGCCCCAAUUCCAACAACUCUUAUUUCAAAAAUGCUUAGAAAAUUGAAUCUUUAGAUCUCGCUGGGUAAACAGAUCUGAGGUAGAUUUAUUUCAACCCAAGUCCUUUAUUUGAGAUAUGUGUGCUCCUGAACCCAACUAAAAUGCAUACCAUAGCCAUUUCAAAGGCAGUGAUAAAAUUACUUGGUUAAAUAUUUUGGCUAGAUUUCCUGUUUCCAGAGACCUGGGCUUUGUAUUCUGUGGCUUCUGCAUUGCCAUGUGGUGAUGUGGGCGGUAUUAAAUGGCACCACAUCUGCCAACCUCCAUAAGUACUGUGCCCCACAGGGAAAGCCCCAGGCACCCAUUACCACUGCGAGCCACAAGGACAAGACAACGCCAAAUCUCAGUAACCACCUUUAAAUUCUCAGACCUUUGGCUUUCUUCAGGAAUCCAGGCUGUAAGCUUCUUAGGAUGACUACAGACCGCAAAGUACCGCCUCAUUUCAGUGUGGAGUCUAUAAAAUCACUUUAGUUAUAAUUCAGAUAUUCUCCAAACUUGAGGCUGCGAAGCAUUCCGAUCUGCUCUUAGAUUUCUGUAUAAUCUCUCCUUCAUUUUAUAACAUUCUUUGUCUUCUGUUGCUCUGUGCAAAUACCAGUGCUUUACAAGUCAUCAGGCCAUGAUUUGUGCGUGGCCUGAUACGUGGAGGUGAAAGGGGAGCUUUAUGUGAGGCAGGGAAAUGGUUCUGUUAAACUUUGCUUGCUUUCACUACCUUUAAAACUCAUUAAAUACGAUUCUGCCUUUUACUUUGCCAAAGUGUUUAAAACCCAUUUUAAUGAAAAAUUCUAAUCCUAUAUAAUCACACCAUAAGCACUUUCUUUCUGUUCAAAGAGGAAACAGUGUUAAAUUUUAAUGCAUACCUCUGGCAGGCUAUAUUAAAAGUGUUUAGUCAGUUUUAAAUCCGAUUAGUGUAACUGUUACAGAUUAGAGAAAAAUCCCAAGUGAUUGGAGCAAGUCCCCAGCUCAAGGGAACUAAUUUAGGGUCCAGGCCUGAUCACGCCAGAAUUAAAAGGAACCUCAAGACUCUUGCAUUCAGUUUGUCCAAAUUUUGUUCCUAAGCUAAUAAAAUAAGGUCCUGUGCUAGGUAGUGCA